rnacentral:lncRNA from 10 species
AGAGAGCCUCGGCUAGGUAGGGGAGCGGAACUCUGGUGGGAGGGGAGGUGCGGUACACUGGGGGGAUGGGUGGCUAGGGGGGCCGUCUGGUGGCUUGCGGGGGUUGCCUUUCCCGUGGGAAGUCGGGAACAUAAUGUUUGUUACGUUGGGAGGGAAAGGGGUGGCUGGAUGCAGGCGGGAGGGAGGCCCGCCCUGCGGCAACCGGAGGGGGAGGGAGAAGGGAGCGGAAAAUGCUCGAAACCGGACGGAGCCAUUGCUCUCGCAGAGGGAGGAGCGCUUCCGGCUAGCCUCUUGUCGCCGAUUGGCCGUUUCUCCUCCCGCCGUGUGUGAAAACACAAAUGGCGUAUUCUGGUUGGAGUAAAGCUCCUGUCAGUUACGCCGUCGGGAGUACGCAGCCGCUUAGCGACUCUCGCGUUGCCCCCUGGGUGGGGCGGGUAGGUAGGUGGGGUGUAGAGAUGCUGGGUGUGCGGGCGCGGCCGGCCUCCUGCGGCGGGAGGGGAGGGUCAGUGAAAUCGGCUCUGGCGCGGGCGUCCUCCCACCCUCCCCUUCCUUCGGGGGAGUCGGUUUACCCGCCGCCUGCUUGUCUUCGACACCUGAUUGGCUGUCGAAGCUGUGGGACCGGGCCCUUGCUACUGGUGUGGAAACAGGAAGAGAACUAGAACUGGAAGUAAAGCAUUGAAGAUGUGACUGAAUUGCUGCAAUCUCAUGAUCAAAUUUGAAUGGAUGAGGAGUUGCUUUUUAGGGAUGAGCAAAGAAAGUGGUUUCUCGAGAUGGAAUCUACUGGUGAAGUUGCUGUGAACAUUGUUAAAAUGCCAAUAAAGGAUUUAGGAAUUACAGAAACCUGGUUGAUAAAGCAGUGCCAGGGUGUGAGAGAGUUGACUUCAAUUUUGAAAUAAGUUCCACUGGCUGGGUGUGGUGGCUCACACCUGCAAUCCCAGUACUUUAGGAGGCCGAGACUGGUAGAUCAUUUGAGGUCAGGAGUUCAAGACCAGCCUUGCCAACAUGGUGAAACCCCACCUCUACCAAAUUAGCCAGGUGUGGUGCACACCUGUAGUCCCAGCUACUUGGGAAGCUGAGGCAGGAGAAUCUCUUGAACCAGGGAGGAGGAGGUUGCAGUAAGCCGAGAUGGCGCCCCUGCACUCCAGCCUGGGUGACAGAGUGAGACCUUGCGUUU